GAUUGAAAUUUGAAAGAUAUCUUGCUUAUGGAUUAAGAAUGAAAUUUUCAGCGAUAAAGGUGGAGGUUAAUUCAUAUUGCUAUGCUAUUUUCCUGUUCAUGAAUUCCAAAAUGGAUUAAAUUAUGUAUUCUAUGGUCAGGAAAUGAUAAAUGAAAGGAUGAGUAAUAGUGAGAGAUCUACUGAGAACCUCCUCGUAGUGUUGCUUGGAAAGGCAAUGUGUAUUUUCAGGUAUUGGAAAAGAAAAAAAAAGCGGGUGUAUCCGUGAUUUAGGAAUUAGUCCAAGUCCUUCUGUUCUAUGGGGUAGUAGGUAUUUCUUAGAAAAUAUUAUUGUAGAUGAUUCGUCUAGUGAGGUUAUAUAAAGGUUAGAAUAAGAGAUAAUCGGAUAAACAAAAUGAAGAAAUGAAUAUGAUGAACAAAAUCAGGAGAAUAUGCUAUUAGAACUACUCCAAAUGAGACAAUUCAUGCGCAAAUAUGCUCCUAAUGCAUCUAUAUCUUAAAGUAGCAAUGGCACCUCAGGUGAACAGAUCACUGACGCCAACAGUGGACAUGAACGAGUAGUACAAACAUCAAGGAUACUUAGUGUUGCUGAAAAUGCUCAAUCUCCUCACGGUCAUACAGUCUGAUGUUCGAUAGUUUAGAUGAAAGAUUUCGAAAUGAUGUAAAGUUACGAAAAUCAUUUGAAGACCAUCAUUCGUCUGAAUUAGUUAUAUAAUGACAUUAGUUAUUUAGUUCAAAUAAUAUAAGUUUAUUUUUUAAGUUACUAUGACAUAAUAUUUUUUUAUUAGUACUUCCCUUUGUUAG